rnacentral:rRNA from 1 species
AUUGAACGCUGGCGGCAGGCCUAACACAUGCAAGUCGAACGGUAACAGGAAGCAGCUUGCUGCUUUGCUGACGAGUGGCGGACGGGUGAGUAAUGUCUGGGAAACUGCCUGAUGGAGGGGGAUAACUACUGGAAACGGUAGCUAAUACCGCAUAACGUCGCAAGACCAAAGAGGGGGACCUUCGGGCCUCUUGCCAUCGGAUGUGCCCAGAUGGGAUUAGCUUGUUGGUGGGGUAACGGCUCACCAAGGCGACGAUCCCUAGCUGGUCUGAGAGGAUGACAAGCCACACUGGAACUGAGACACGGUCCAGACUACUACGGGAGGCAGCAGUGGGGAAUAUUGGACAAUGGGCGCAAGCAUGAUGCAGCCAGGGCGCGUGUAUGAAGAAGGCCUUCGGGUUGUAAAGUACGUUCAGCGGGGAGGAAGGGAGUAAAGUUAAUACCUAUACUCAUUGACGUUACCCGCAGAAGAAGCACCGGCUAACUCCGUG